rnacentral:pre_miRNA from 1 species
CUGUCCUGUAGUUUUCCGUAUUCAACGUUUAACCGUCUGUUUUUUUUAAAAAUAUAUAAUUAGUAUUUUUGUUGUUAUUAGAUAAUAAAACAUGAAUAGUCCUUUAUGACUAACUUAUUUUUUUAUUUUUUUUAUAAAACUUUUAAUAGGACGAACGGUCAACCACAACGGCACUUAUA